CUUCAGGAGUCAUCUCCAGUUUACAAGAGUUGACUGCACUACUCUGAAGUCGCCUCUAGAAGAAAGAAGCUGAUCAAGACUUUUUAGAAGUUGCACCAGAAACACGGGAGUCGUCUCCAAGCAUAGAGCCGUGUGAAGUUGGUCUAGAAAUCGUCUCAGCAUAUUAGGAGCCAUCUCCAGUUUUGAAGAGCUGACUAGUAAUGUUCAUGGAGCAGCAAGAAGGAUAACCAGGAGCUGCCUCCUAGUUCCUCUGCUAUAAAUAUGAAGCUUCUACGGUAUUCAUGGAGCAGCAAGAAGGAAAGAGAAUGAGAAAGAAUUUGAAAAGCUUAAACAAAAAGGAAGAGCAGUACUAGAAGCAAGAAAAAGAAGAGGGAAAGAGCAAUAACUACAAAUUUAGUGUUCUCCUUUACUUAGAGCCAAUUAUUGUGAGCUUGUUCUAUUGUAUUUAACUUGAGAGAGAGGUUCUUGUGUUGUA
rnacentral:lncRNA from 1 species